GGAAAGGAAUCCUCUCCCCCUUCCCCUCCCCCUGGGGCGGGGCUCAACCUCUGGCUAUAAACCGGGGUGCUUCAGCCUGCCCAGCAAGAUUUCUCCCCACCACUCUCUCACACCUCUGCUGACCCAGACUCAGACCCAGAUCAGGUUCCUACGGACUUGUCAUAAGACAAAAGGGGACAGCUGUGGAGAGGGGCGGGGCUGCAGCCGGGGCUCGGCCCCACCUUACCCCCAGUGCCCGGAUCACCGGAUCAGUAGGUUGAGGAGGUGGGGGGCUAACCACUCCCCCCUGAGACCCGGGGGUCCAGGC
rnacentral:lncRNA from 1 species